rnacentral:rRNA from 1 species
CCUACGGGAGGCAGCAGUGGGGGAUAUUGCACAAUGGGCGAAACCCUGAUGCAGCGACGCCGCGUGAGUGAAGAAGUAUUUCGGUAUGUAAAGCUCUAUCAGCAGGGAAGAACAAGACAGUAGCUGACCAAGAAUCAACUGCUAACUACGUGCCAGCAGCCGCGGUAAUACGUAGGGGGCGAGCGUUCUCCGGAUUUACUGGGUGUAACGGUAGUGUGGACGGUUAUGUAAGUCAGGAGUGAAAGCCCGGGGCCCAACCCCGGGACUGCCUUGGAAACUGGGUAACUGGAGUGCAGGAGGGGAAGGCGGAAUGCCUGGUGUAGCGGUGAAAUGCGUAGAUAUCAGGAGGAACACCGGCGGCGAAGGCGGCUUGCUGGACUGAAACUGACGCUGAGGCGCGAAAGCGUGGGGAGCAAACAGGAUUAGAUACCCGAGUAGUC